rnacentral:ncRNA from 1 species
ACAAAUGCAAUGAAGAGGAAAGUAACUUUAAGAAUACUUAUACAGAGAGUUUCCAUUGGUGAGAGGAAGCAAAGAAUAUUAAAGUGAAAAUGGCCUUGGAGCGGUGUACCGAGAUUUUUAUUAUAAAAAUUAAGGCUGCAACGGAUUCACCCGUUAUAGUGAUAGAGUAUAAUCAUAUGAUAUAUGACGUACUUGAUGAGGUGCAUAUUGUAAGGUAUGCAUGAAAUAGGAUGGUAACACGAAGUUUAGCUCUCGUUCCUAAG